rnacentral:tRNA from 1 species
GGGUAGGUAUUUUAACAAAAAAGUAUAGUUUGCAUCUAUAAAAUAAGGCUACUUCCCACCCA